rnacentral:rRNA from 1 species
GAUGAACGCUGGCGGCGUGCUUAACACAUGCAAGUCGAACGGAAAGGCCUCUUUCGGGGGGUACUCGAGUGGCGAACGGGUGAGUAACACGUGAGUAACCUGCCCUAGACUUUGGGAUAACUUCAGGAAACUGGGGCUAAUACCGGAUAGGAGCUCCUGCUGCAUGGUGGGGGUUGGAAAGUUUCGGCGGUUGGGGAUGGACUCGCGGCUUAUCAGCUUGUUGGUGGGGUAGUGGCUUACCAAGGCUUUGACGGGUAGCCGGCCUGAGAGGGUGACCGGCCACAUUGGGACUGAGAUACGGCCCAGACUCCUACGGGAGGCAGCAGUGGGGAAUAUUGCACAAUGGGUGGAAGCCUGAUGCAGCAACGCCGUGUGCGGGAUGACGGCCUUCGGGUUGUAAACCGCUUUCGCUCAUGACGAAGCUUUGUGUGACGGUAGUGGGUAAAGAAGCACCGGCUAACUACGUG